rnacentral:rRNA from 1 species
GACGGAGGAUGCAAGCGUUAUCCGGAAUGAUUGGGCGUAAAGCGUCCGCAGGUGGCAGUUCAAGUCUGCUGUCAAAGACCGGGGCUUAACUUCGGAAAGGCAGUGGAAACUGAACAGCUAGAGUAUGGUAGGGGCAGAGGGAAUUCCUGGUGUAGCGGUGAAAUGCGCAGAUAUCGGGAGGAACACCAGUAGCGAAGGCGGCUCGCUGGGACGUUACUGACGCUGAGACGCGAAAGCGUGGGGGAGCAAACAGG